AGUGGGCUUGCCUGCUAUCUCUUACCCAUGUCUUUUGAGUACCUUCGUUUCCUCGGCGGGUCCGCCCGCCGAUUGGACAAAUUUAAACCCUUUGCAGUUGCAAUCAGCGUCUGAAAAAACAUAAUAGUUACAACUUUCAACAACGGAUCUCUUGGUUCUGGCAUCGAUGAAGAACGCAGCGAAAUGCGAUAAGUAGUGUGAAUUGCAGAAUUCAGUGAAUCAUCGAAUCUUUGAACGCACAUUGCGCCCCUUGGUAUUCCAUGGGGCAUGCCUGUUCGAGCGUCAUUUGUACCUUCAAGCUCUGCUUGGUGUUGGGUGUUUGUCUCGCCUUUGCGUGUAGACUCGCCUCAAAACAAUUGGCAGCCGGCGUAUUGAUUUCGGAGCGCAGUACAUCUCGCGCUUUGCACUCAUAACGACGACGUCCAAAAAGUACAUUUUUACACUCUUGACCUCGGAUCAGGUAGGGAUACCCGCUGAACUUAAGCAUAUCAAUAAGCGGAGGAGAU
rnacentral:rRNA from 1 species